AUACGUAGGUGACAAGCGUUAUCCGGAUUUACUGGGCGUAAAGGGCGUGUAGGCGGUCUUGCAAGUCAGAAGUGAAAUUCCUGAGCUCGACUCGGGCGCUGCUUCUGAAACUGCAGGACUUGAGUAUCGGAGGGGCAGGCGGAAUUCCUAGUGUCGCGGGGAACUGCGUAGAUAUUAGGAGGAACACCAGUGGCGAAGGCGGCCUGCUGGACGACAACUGACGCUGAGGCGCGAAAGCGUGGGGAGCAAACAGGAUUAGAUACCCUGGUAGUCCACGCUGUAAACGAUGAAUACUAGGUGUGGGGGGACUGACCCCCUCCGUGCCGCAGUUAACACAAUAAGUAUUCCGCCUGGGGAGUACGGCCGCAAGGUUGAAACUCAAAUGAAUUGACGGGG
rnacentral:rRNA from 1 species